rnacentral:rRNA from 1 species
GCUCGGGGAGGUAGUGACGAAAAAUAACGAUACGGAACUCUUACGAGGCUCCGUAAUAGGAAUGAGUACACUUUAAAUCCUUUAACGAGGAUCUAUUGGAGGGCAAGUCUGGUGCCAGCAGCCGCGGUAAUUCCAGCUCCAAUAGCGUAUAUUAAAGUUGUUGCGGUUAAAAAGCUCGUAGUUGGAUCUCGGUUUCACUCAGGUGGUACACCUUGCGGUGUUCACUAUCUGGGUGGACGUUUCUGUUGGUUCCUCUUGGUGCUCUUCAUCGGGUGCCAUUUGGUGGCCAGCACGUUUACUUUGAAAAAAUUGGAGUGCUCAAAGCAGGCGUUACAGCCUGAACAUUAGUGCAUGGAAUAAUGGAAUAGGAUCUCGAUUCUAUUUCGUUGGCUUUCGGAGUCGAGGUAAUGAUUAAUAGGGACAGACGGGGGCAUUCGUACUGCGACGUUAGAGGUGAAAUUCUUGGAUCGUCGCAAGACGAACUACUGCGAAAGCAUUUGCCAAGAAUGUUUUCAUUAAUCAAGAACGAAAGUUAGAGGUUCGAAGGCGAUCAGAUACCGCCCUAGUUCUAACCAUAAACGAUGCCAACCGGCGAUCCGUCGUCGUUAAUUGAAUGACUCGACGGGCAGCCUCCGGGAAACCAGAGUGUUUGGGUUCCGGGGGAAGUAUGGUUGCAAAGCUGAAACUUAAAGGAAUUGACGGAAGGGCACCACCAGGAGUGGAGCCUGCGGCUUAAUUUGACUCAACACGGGAAAUCUCACCAGGCCCGGACACCGGAAGGAUUGACAGAUUGAGAGCUCUUUCUUGAUUCGGUGGGUGGUGGUGCAUGGCCGUUCUUAGUUGGUGGAGCGAUUUGUCUGGUUAAUUCCGAUAACGAACGAGACUCUGGCCUACUAACUAGAAGGUCUAUCCUUUAUGGGUAGGCCUCUGCUUCUUAGAGGGACGGGCGGCGUUUAGCCGCACGAGAAUGAGCAAUAACAGGUCUGUGAUGCCCUUAGAUGUUCUGGGCUGCACGCGCGCUACACUGAAGGAAUCAGCAUGUUCUCCCCUCCCUGAAAAGGGCGGGUAACCCGUUGAAACUCCUUCGUGAUGGGGAUUGGAGAUUGUAAUUAUUCUCCAUGAACGAGGAAUUCCCAGUAGGCGCGAGUCAUCAGCUUGCGUCGAUUACGUCCCUGCCCUUUGUACACACCGCCCGUCGCUACUACCGAUCGAGUGAUUUAGUGAGGACUUCGGACUGGUCUUCAAGUUGGCUUCGGUCGGCUCGAAGUUCCGGAAAGAUGCCCAAACUUGAUCACUUAGA